rnacentral:misc_RNA from 1 species
UUUCCGUAGGUGAACCUGCGGAAGGAUCAUUAAUGUGUUUGGGCCUCACGGCUCUUCAUUCCGACGCUGUGCGCCUUCGGGCUGCACGCUGAGGGAGCAUAUAUCCACCCCUGUGCACACACACGGUGGCGAGCUGGGUAACGGCUCGCCGCUGAUCUUUACACACGUCUAAAAGUCAUUGUAUGUUUAUUUGAGGUAAAAACACAACUUUCAGCAACGGAUCUCUUGGCUCUC